AAAUUAUGAGCUUUGGAGCGGCUUAAUUUCGACUUAAGUGAUGGUAAAUUUGGUGAAGUUCACGUCAUUAUUUC
rnacentral:tRNA from 1 species